UGUUAACGGCGCUACCACCCUCUUCAUCAUUUCAAAGGUAACAUUUGCUGGUUGUCUUUACAGAAAGAAACUCGUGAAGCGUGUCAUUUUCUUUGUUGCUGUUUUGACAACUAAGAGAAGGUUAAAGCCGAAACUCCUUCAAAAACACUAUGUCUGAACAAUAUGCAGUUCCGCUCUGUCUCCCAAACAACUGCAAAUGGGACGAGCAGACCACGGAGUACAGCAAAAGCGAUGACGCUAGGGAAAGCCUCGUCGUUGUUGACGCAGCUCUUGAGCAGCUCAGAAUAAUCAAAGUCCUUGAUCCAGUCCGUGUUCCGAUCCGGUCCGAUCCAGAUUUUGUCGACGCCGAUCAUUGCCGUCUCAUAACAGGAGUAACAGUGACUGCCAAGUGAGCCAAAAACGGGAAAACAAACCAGAGUCUACAACGGAGACACAAG